rnacentral:rRNA from 1 species
ACAAGCGGUGAGCAUGUGGUUUAAUUCGAUGAUACGCGAGGAACCUUACCUGGCUCAAAUGUAUGUUGACGUAUUCUGAAAGGGAUACUUCUUCGGACAAUAUACAAGGUGCUGCAUGGCUGUCGUCAGCUCGUGCCGUGAGGUGUCGGGUUAAGUCCCAUAACGAGCGCAACCCUAUCAUUAGUUGCCAUCAGGUCAAGCUGGGGACUCUAAUGAAACUGCCUACGCAAGUAGUGAGGAAGGUGGGGAUGACGUCAAAUCAGCACGGCCCUUACGUCCAGGGCUACACACGUGCUACAAUGGCCGGUACAAAGGGCAGCUACCUGGUGACAGGAUGCUAAUCUCAAAAGCCGGUCUCAGUUCGGAUCGGAGUCUGCAACCCGACUCCGUGAAGCUGGAUUCGCUAGUAAUCGCGCAUCAGCCACGGCGCGGUGAAUACGUUCCCGGGCCUU